GCUUAAUCAUAGCUGAUGUGUAUGGGGAGGUCUCAGGUCCUUUAGGUUCUUUCUAAGCUAGAGAUUGUAUAAGUCAAUCAUGAUGGCCAGUUGGCCACUGUGCAAGGAGCUUCACGUUGUGUAAAGAAUAUUUAAAUUCUUCUUAAUACUAUGAUGAACAGAUCUCUUGUGUAUUUAGUGAAAAAAAUUUGGGUCAAGCAUCUACUGAUUGGCUGUCUUGUUCUCUCUCCUCAUCUCUUCUCUUUCCCCCUCUCAUUCUGCGUUCUUUCCCAUCAUGUCUGCUCUGGAUCAACGCCACAAUUGGUCUACAAAUCCGAAGGGAAGGGUGCCGUCGGCCUCUACAUCCAUGCUGCCAGCCUCCUUGGCCUUAUACACCCG
rnacentral:lncRNA from 1 species